rnacentral:lncRNA from 1 species
GGCCCCAGCUCCUCUGUUCUGCCCAGUGGCCUGGCGCAGGAAAGGUGACCCAGUAGUUCAGCCUGUCCCAGCUGCCUGCCCCAGCACCAUCCCAGACCCCUUUCCCUGGGGCCCACCUUGGCCCUGAGGAAGGCCAGAGCUCGGCUGCUGUUCUCCAGGAAGUGCACACGCAGGCGGCCCCGGCUCGGGGGUGGCAGGGCCUCCCCUGAGAUGAGCUCCAGCAGCCGCAGGAGGUGGAUGCCGUCAGCCAGCUCUGUGUACAGGUUCCGGAUCUUGAUGCCCGCCUGGGGAGGGGACAGGGCAACUUCUCCAACUCCAGGUGGGGGUCCUGGCUCCCAGGACGCAGAGGCCCAUGGAGCGGCCCUGCCACCGCAUGGGGUGCUGCAGUCUGCGUAGGAGGUACCAAAGGGCAGAGCCUCUGUGGGAAGCCUGUGGACGCACUUCCCAAUCUGAGACUGCCCUCUGUACCCUCUUGGGGCCUCUCUGUGAGCACCCAGGGCGAGGGGAUGAGGGAGCGUCCUGGGCCGUGGUCUUCUCAUUCACCCCCAGGGAACAGCCCAUAGACUGAGGGCCUCACAGACCCUGGGCUUGGCUUUCCAGGCCCUGCCAGAGUGCAGCCUGCCUAGCCCGGGGCUGAAGGGUAGGCUCCCUGGAGGAAGGGGUGACCUGGAACUGCGAGGGCUGUGGAGUCUCCUCCAAAAUUAGAGACACGGUGUUAACUCUGGGCUCCACAGAGCUGGCCGUGGCCCGGGGCUCGGAGGCAGGGGUGCAGAGGGAGCUGGUGGGCGCCCAUCCCUUCCUCCCCGAGCAGCCGUGGACUACAUGCCAGAGUGAAGGCGAGUUCUAAUUCUGGGGGUCUCACCCGCCUCUGGCUAAACUCAGGGUAGCAGUGUGGGCUGGGGUGUGUGUGUGUGGGUGUCUUCCAGCGGCCCUGGAGCCUCUGAAGCGACAGCCCGCUCCUCAGGGAGGCGCUCCUGGCAGCCACAGCCCACAGCAGGACAGCCGCUCAGCGCGCCCUUGAGAGCUGGGCUAGGGAUGAGUCACACUUGAACCGCCUGGGCCCACUGCAGGCAGUCAGGGGUGACGCUGAGAGGUGCCGUGGUCUCGGGUGGGGUGCGGCUUCCUGCGUCUGAGAGACGCUUCCUCUCCUGCUGUCCUCUCCCUGCCAGGCCCCUUCUGCAGCGGCUGGCUUCCAGACACCCUGCGUCCCUCCCUUGCUCGCAGCAGUUGCUGUGGCGGUCCUCCCGUGCACCCCCCCUUCUGCCCUCACUGCCCCUGGGGGUCCUCAUCACGGACCCCCUAACUCGGCAUCCUGGACACCACCACCCCGCACCUUUCCACAGUGCAGCUCUGCUCGUGCCUGUGAAGCCUCCCACAGCCUGGGAAGGAAAAUCCAGACUUGCCAGACCUUGCCUCAGCCAGGCCUUGGAAGCCUGCCAGCUUACCUAACCAGGCUAGUCUGCCCCCCUCACUCUGGGUGCUCUCCAUGGGCCACUCACCAUUUCCUGAGCAGGACCAGAGCUCUCCUGCCCCAAGGCUGGGCUUCAGCUGCUCUUUCAGCUUUGAACGUCCUUUCCCAUUCUCCAUCAUCCACAUUCACCUAUCCUGCCUGCCCCAGUUAAAAUCCUGUUUCUUCUAGGAAGUCCCUCAUCCCACCCGCUUACCCCAGGGAGACUGAGCUUGUUCCUUCUCCUAGUAAGACCCUCAGCCCAUGGAGUCCUGUGUGAUGUUGUGAGCGUGGGAGGACAGACUGAACUGCUCGGCCCGUGGAGUCCUGUGUGAUGUUGUGAGCGGGGAGGACAGACUGAACUGCGUGGUGCUUCGCACAUAGACCUCAACAGGGAUUGGCAUUUUGAAGCUGUUGGCGGGGGCUGUGGACUGCUUUUCUUCCUUUCUAGCUCAACGGCAGCUAAAGCCACUGCAUACAAUGCAAGGACUGGCUCCUGUUUGGCCACGACUGAUUGCAGCCCCUGGUGAAAUGAGAACCCUGUGGGUCGGAACAAAGUUUGGAUUAUUUAUGUUGCAAGUAACUAAAAUCUCAAGUGAAACUGGUUUAAACAUUAUAUUUUUAUUAUUUAUUUAUUUAUAUUUAAUUCUUUUUUAGAGACAGGGUCUUCUUAGGUUGCCCAGGCUGGUCUUGAACUCCUGGCCUCAACGAUCUUCCCACUUCAGCCUCCUGCAUUGCUGGGAUUAUAGGUGUGAGCCACCAUGCCUGGCUUACACAGUAUAAAGGGAAUGCAUUGGCCCACACAGUGGAAAAAAAUAUCUAGUAGGAAUAGGAAGGACUUCAGGUGAGGUUUGAUCCAGCAGCUCAAAUGUUGUCACCACAGGCCUGGAUUCCUCUGGCCUUUCUCAAGGUCUCUUUCAUUUUCAUGCUCCACAAGAUGGCUUCUGCCAGGCUGACCUCCCUCCCCUGACCCCAGCAGCUCUGGACACCCCUCUCAGUGCCAUUUAUAUUGUUGCAUCAAUAGGCUCAUUUCUAUAUACUGCAAGGUUCAGAGAAGACAGAGUAUCUCUCUCAAGAGUUCUAACAUAAGUCUGGGGGUCCUGGCUCUCAUAGGCUUGAACAGGGCCACAUGUCCAUUCCUGAGCCAAUAUUUGUGACCAAGGGGAUGUGGUCAAUCUCAUCCAAACCUCACUUGAAGUGAGGGUGGGAGGAGGAGUGCUCUGCAAGGAGACUGUAGGUCUGGACCACCAAAAAGGUAGAUGGGUUGGUGGGAAAAGCCAGAUGCCUACUAUGGUAGUGGGCGGGGGGAGGGCACACUGGCAAGGUACAGCAAGAGGCAGGGGCAGUGCUGGACAGGCAGGGGCUCCUCCCUAGCACGACUGGAGAAAGGACUCCUGUGAAGCGGUCACCUCCAUGAGUCCCUCCUGUCCUGGCUUCCAACCACUCUGAAGUGGGGCUUUUGUCCACAGACCUGGCCUCUGCUGCCUACCCUCUUCUGUCCCCACCUGAUGGGGCCGCUUUCCUUCUGAAGCGGCUGCAUUUUGGGUUUCUCUCCACAGGAAGAGUUGGGGCUCACAGGCACACCCUCUCCCUAACUCUUCUCCCCCGGUUCAACCUGGAUCCAGGGAUCCACACUCUGCUCCGAGAGGCCAGCACGCAGCCACUGGAAAAUGAGCCAGUGGGAGAGGGCAGCUCCAUGUUUAUUGAUCAGCAGACUAUGUCUUUUUGUUUGAAACUUCUAAAUAAGAUUACAAAAAGAAAAAAAAUAGAAGCAUUGCGUAUUAACUGCAUUGGUUAACCAACAUUGGAACCCAAUACUCUUGUAUUAGGCCCGCAUUUACCUGAGUAAACUCAGUGGUUUUCUGUCCUAAGCAUGCUUGCCUGCUACAUCCCAUGGAGAAAAUAAACAGUGAAACACUUUCCUCAUCUUCAAGGCAAUUGUCUCAGGCAUCCUCCAGGCAUCAUGAAGGAGGGUGAGCGAGGGUGCGAGGUGGAAAGGUCCAGGCCGCGGCUGUGACUCCCGCGGGUGAACCACAGCUCCACAGCCCCAAAUCCAAAGAUGCUCUUGCUGCAGCACGACAAGUGUUCAAAAGAGAACCAGGCCCAGCCCGGAGAAAGGAAAGCCAAAAGCCAACUGAAUGAAUGACCCUCCCCCAGAAGAGCAACCCUGCCCCCAGGCCAUCCAAGUGCGAACAUUACCAGGUGCCAGCAGGGAAAGGACUCCGCUGCCUGACGCCUCUCCCACCUGAGAGCGCAGAGGUAGGGAGAUCACAGUGCCUGAGAGGUUUUCCUCCACGGAGAAAUCAGAGACCUCAACCUGCUGCCCUCUAAAGCAGCUUUCUGUAUCCAGACAAAACUUACAUAUGUACACGUUGUUUUAAAACGACAUACUCAUGUGACACACAUGUAUAUAAAUUCAUGUUUAUAUAUGACAAUUGAGGAGAGUUAAAGAACAAGAUAAUUCUGGAUGGAAAAAUCAGUUUGCCUGGGCAUCUGUAAACCUUUGGGCAAGUGAAUUCCCUCUUCUCUCUCAGUUCACCCUUUGGUGACCUCCACCGUGGCUGCAGACUUCAGGUGGUCCUCACGCAUUCACAGAACUGUCUGCUUAGGUUACAGCACUUUGGGAGGCCGAGGUGGGUAGAUCACGAGGUCAGGAGAUCGAGACCAUAUUGACCAACAUGGUAAAACCCCAUCUCUACUAAAAUACAAAAAUUAGCCGGGCGUGGUGGCGGGUGCCUGUAGUCCCAGCUACUUGGGAGGCUGAGGCAGGGGAAUCACUUGAACCUGGGAGGCGGAGGUUGCAGUGAACUGAGAUUGCGCCACUGCACUCCAGCCUGGG